rnacentral:rRNA from 1 species
GACGAACGCUGGCGGCGUGCUUAACACAUGCAAGUCGACAUGAGUGGCGAACGGGUGAGUAAUACGUGGGUAACGUGCCCUCCUUUUUGGGAUAAGCCUUGGAAACGGGGUCUAAUACCGUAUAAAGGGGGAUGGGCUCGCGGCGUAUCAGCUGGUUGGUGGGGUGAUGGCCUACGAAGGCGGUGACGGGUAGCCGGGCUGAGAGGGGGACCUGCGACAUAGAUACUGCGACGCCGCCCAGACUACGAAGGAAGGGGGCAUUGGCGGCUAUGGGCCAAAGGGCGAACGCGCAAUGCCGCGACGGUGCAUGGGGUAUGCGGGCUUUCGGAUUAUGAUCCUCUUUCGCUAUCGAACGGGUAUGUAGACAAGAAGCGACGGCUAACUACGUGCCAGCAGCCGCGGUAAUAC